rnacentral:tRNA from 1 species
GCCGUAGCUCAAUGGUAGAGCACCGCUUUCAUAAGGCGUAGGUUGCUGGUUCAACCCCAGUCGGCG